GUUAAUCCUCUCUUUCUUCAAAAGCUAGAGGUUCUUUAUGAGCUGUUGUGGAGCAAGAUAAAGAAACUGAGGCACUGUGAAUUUAAGAAACUUACUGUGUAAUCACCCCGUCCGAGAAAGCAGUCCACAUGCCUUUCAGAAUCCAGCGAAUCAUAAGAAAAC